rnacentral:rRNA from 1 species
GACGGAAGGUGCAAGCGUUGCUCGGAAUCACUGGGCGUAAAGGGUGCGUAGGCGGCUGUGCAAGUCUGGCGUGAAAGCCCGGGGCUCAACCCCGGAACUGCCUUUAAGACUGCAUCGCUUGAACAUCGGAGAGGUGAGUGGAAUUCCGAGUGUAGAGGUGAAAUUCGUAGAUAUUCGGAAGAACACCAGUGGCGAAGGCGGCUCACUGGACGAUUGUUGACGCUGAGGUGCGAAAGCGUGGGGAGCAAACAGG